rnacentral:sRNA from 1 species
AAUUUGCGUUAAGGAUUGCAAUGACAUCCUUUUUGUUUUUUUAGCAAAAAGAUAUAAUGGAAAGCCUGUUAAAAC